rnacentral:rRNA from 1 species
AGAUUGAACGCUGGCGGCAGGCCUAACACAUGCAAGUCGAACGGUAACAGGAAGCAGCUUGCUGCUUCGCUGACGAGUGGCGGACGGGUGAGUAAUGUCUGGGAAACUGCCUGAUGGAGGGGGAUAACUACUGGAAACGGUGGCUAAUACCGCAUAACGUCGCAAGACCAAAGAGGGGGACCUUCGGGCCUCUUGCCAUCAGAUGUGCCCAGAUGGGAUUAGCUAGUUGGUGAGGUAACGGCUCACCAAGGCGACGAUCCCUAGCUGGUCUGAGAGGAUGACCAGCCACACUGGAACUGAGACACGGUCCAGACUCCUACGGGAGGCAGCAGUGGGGAAUAUUGCACAAUGGGCGCAAGCCUGAUGCAGCCAUGCCGCGUGUAUGAAGAAGGCCUUCGGGUUGUAAAGUACUUUCAGCGGGGAGGAAGGUGUUGUGGUUAAUAACCGCAGCAAUUGACGUUACCCGCAGAAGAAGCACCGGCUAACUCCGUGCCAGCAGCCGCGGUAAUACGGAGGGUGCAAGCGUUAAUCGGAAUUACUGGGCGUAAAGCGCACGCAGGCGGUCUGUCAAGUCGGAUGUGAAAUCCCCGGGCUCAACCUGGGAACUGCAUUCGAAACUGGCAGGCUUGAGUCUUGUAGAGGGGGGUAGAAUUCCAGGUGUAGCGGUGAAAUGCGUAGAGAUCUGGAGGAAUACCGGUGGCGAAGGCGGCCCCCUGGACAAAGACUGACGCUCAGGUGCGAAAGCGUGGGGAGCAAACAGGAUUAGAUACCCUGGUAGUCCACGCCGUAAACGAUGUCUACUUGGAGGUUGUGCCCUUGAGGCGUGGCUUCCGGAGCUAACGCGUUAAGUAGACCGCCUGGGGAGUACGGCCGCAAGGUUAAAACUCAAAUGAAUUGACGGGGGCCCGCACAAGCGGUGGAGCAUGUGGUUUAAUUCGAUGCAACGCGAAGAACCUUACCUGGUCUUGACAUCCACAGAACUUUCCAGAGAUGGAUUGGUGCCUUCGGGAACUGUGAGACAGGUGCUGCAUGGCUGUCGUCAGCUCGUGUUGUGAAAUGUUGGGUUAAGUCCCGCAACGAGCGCAACCCUUAUCCUUUGUUGCCAGCGAUUAGGUCGGGAACUCAAAGGAGACUGCCAGUGAUAAACUGGAGGAAGGUGGGGAUGACGUCAAGUCAUCAUGGCCCUUACGACCAGGGCUACACACGUGCUACAAUGGCGCAUACAAAGAGAAGCGACCUCGCGAGAGCAAGCGGACCUCAUAAAGUGCGUCGUAGUCCGGAUUGGAGUCUGCAACUCGACUCCAUGAAGUCGGAAUCGCUAGUAAUCGUGGAUCAGAAUGCCACGGUGAAUACGUUCCCGGGCCUUGUACACACCGCCCGUCACACCAUGGGAGUGGGUUGCAAAAGAAGUAGGUAGCUUAACCUUCGGGAGGGCGCUUACCACUUUGUGAUUCAUGACUGGGGUGAAGUCGUAACAAGGUAACCGUAGGGGAACCUGCGGUUGGAUCACCUCCUUACCUUAAAGAA